rnacentral:tRNA from 1 species
CGCGGGAUGGAGCAGUAGGCAGCUCGUUGGGCUCAUAACCCAAAGGUCGCAGGUUCGAGUCCUGCUCCCGCUACUA